AAUAAAAAGUCUACAGGUGUUAAAACAUAACUCUCUGGGUCUUUUCGUCCUGAAGCUGAGACACACUAAUAUCUAUGAGACGAAUGUGGGCUGGGGAAGGAAAGGCCUCAGCCCCAAACACAACAGAUCCCAUCAGUUCUACACAGAGCGCCUCUGCACCCAUUUCCAGCGCACAGUCACCGCAGCCCUCAACAGGGUGAUGCAGGUAAAAUCUGCCAAAGGCGCUUUUGACGUAAGGAGAAGAAAAGCUUUACAGACUCGAAUUAAUGAGGAAAUUCAGCUUCACCUUAGACAUGGAAAAUCACUUGCACAGGGAUUUGAGUUUAGACAAGACUUCUUGCUGGAGGUGAGAAACACUCUGGUAAAGUCACCCCCCUCCCAGAAUGCUGUGCUGCUGCUCGGGGAGCCAGGAUCUGGGAAGAGCACCAUCAUGGCCGAGGUUGCCCGGCUCAUACCCACCUGG